rnacentral:rRNA from 1 species
GAUCAUGGCUCAGGAUGAACGCUAGCUACAGGCUUAACACAUGCAAGUCGAGGGGCAGCAUGGUCUUAGCUUGCAAAGACUGAUGGCGACCGGCGCACGGGUGAGUAACACGUAUCCAACCUGCCGUCUACUCUUGGACAGCCUUCUGAAAGGAAGAUUAAUACAAGAUGGCAUCAUAAGUCCGCAUGUUCAUAUGAUUAAAGGUAUUCCGGUAGACGAUGGGGG